rnacentral:rRNA from 1 species
UACGUAGGGACCAAGCGUUGUUCGGAUUUACUGGGCGUAAAGGGCGCGUAGGCGGCUUGUCAAGUCACUUGUGAAAUCUCUGGGCUUAACCCAGAACGGCCAAGUGAAACUGUCAAGCUAGAGUGCAGAAGGGGCAAUCGGAAUUCUUGGUGUAGCGGUGAAAUGCGUAGAUAUCAAGAGGAACACCUGAGGUGAAGACGGGUUGCUGGGCUGACACUGACGCUGAGGCGCGAAAGCCAGGGGAGCAAACGGG